UGACAAUGAUGCCUGGCACAGCUGAUGCUGAGGGAGGCUGCAUCUGCUGAGUCGCUCCUUCCCUCGUCAGCACACCACCACCACCACUGGCAGCCAGAGUACAGAGAGCACACGUGCAGGCAAGGGUAAAGCAGGAAUCGGCAGCAGUAUGGGAGGACUGAUGCCACUUGAGUAACAACAGUGAGCGAGAUACCCUGAAGCUGUUGCAAUGGGGAAUGGCCAGCACAACUCAGCCAUGGCAAGGACUUUAUAUACACUUUCGUGGAGUGUUAACAGAUAUAAGCUCAGUACAUCUAACUUCUGAACUACAUCUGUAUUUUGGCCAUAAAACUUCCUAUUCACUGUCAUGAUGGAGCCCGUAAGGAAGUUCGAGUGUGAGAAAUGUGGCCAGAUCCUCACCAACUACAGCAGCUUCAUUCAGCACUCACUAUUGCACAUCGGUGUGAGGGUGCUGGCCUGCUCGAAGUGUGGCCGACUCUUCACUAAUGUUCUCGAGCAGAAGCGCCACGCCUCUGCCCACAGCAAUGCCAUAGAGAAGGCUGAGUGUGAUGAGUGUGGCCGAGUACUAAGCAGGAAGCACCUCCUCAGACACAAACAGACACAUAGGAACAGUGCCAGUACAGGGAAGUUUGUAUGUGGUGAGUGUGGCAAAGUUUUCAGUAAGAGGAGAUAUCUCAACCGACACAAAGACACACACAUCGACACCAGGAAAUUUCAGUGCAACAAAUGUGAUAAGAAAUUCACCAUAAAGGCCUAUCUCACAGAGCACUUGAAAACCCACACAGGGAUUAAGAGCUUUCAGUGUGGCGUGUGCUUCAAGUAUUUUACAACUAAGGGGAGUCUUACCAUACACGCGAACAUUCACACUGGGGUCAAGAACUUUAAGUGUGAGGAGUGCGGGAAGCUGUUCACCAGGAAGGGAGAUCUCGCACAGCAUUUCGUCAUCCACACUAGCCUUAAGAAGUACAAGUGUGACGUGUGUAAGAAGGAAUUUCUCAGGAAGGUUGAAAUGACGCGACAUAUCAAUAUUCAUACAGGCGUGAGGACCUACAAAUGUCGUGAGUGUGGGAAAGCCUUCACAAAUAAGAGUGGGCUGACCCGACAUUCGCCUGUUCAUUCCCGAGCGAAAUAUCUUCAGUGUAAUGAGUGCUUGAAGGUAUUUAAGCAUAGGGGGAACCUCCUUAGACAUAUGAACACUCACAAAAGCUGAUUAUGAGUUCUUGUAAGGAAGUUUUGUGAUUAUAAGUGCUUAAAUGAAAACAACAAAGAAUAAAGAGUGGACUUAAGACAUAUUAACACUCUCAAAACCUGAUUAUGAGUUCUUGUUGGGAAGUUCUGUGAUUAUAGGUGCUUGAUGUGAAUACAAUAAAGAAUACAAAAUGAACUUGAGCAGGUGGUAUCAUGCAGAGAACUGAUAACAGACUGGCAACCAAAGUAACACUGGGCCAACAGACUGACACAACCAACAGCCAGUUAUCUUGUAUGGAUAUUUCUUGGUUGUUAUGUUUUACCCAUAAUUAAUGAGCUGAACAUUUUAUUCUUUUGUUAAUGUAUAUAAUAUUUAUUCACCCAGUUUGAAUGCAUGGAUGUGUACAGCUCAUGCCUGCAUCCUCGGUCAUCUGCCCAAUAAACUGUAUAAAUAUU